CCUACGGGUGGCUGCAGUGGGGGAUAUUGCACAAUGGGGGAAACCCUGACGCAGCGACGCCGCGUGGGCGAAGAAGGAUUUCGGGAUGUAAAGCUCUAUCAGCAGGGAAGAAGAAAAGACGGUACCCGGAUAAGAAGCACCGGCUAACUACGUGCCAGCAGCCGCGGUAAUACGUAUGGUGCAAGCGUUAUCCGGAUUUACUGGGUGUAAAGGGAGUGUAGACGGCACGGCAAGUCUGAUGUGAAAUCCCGCGGCUCAACCGCGAGAUUGCAUUGGGAACUACUGGUCUUGAGUACCGGAGAGGUAGACGGAAUUCCUUGUGUAGCGGUGAAAUGCGUAGAUAUUAGGAGGAACACCAGUGGCGAAGGCGGUCUGCUGGACAGUGACUGACGGUGAGGCUCGAAAGCGUGGGGAGCAAACAGGAUUAGAUACCCUUGUAGUC
rnacentral:rRNA from 1 species